UGCUAAUGCAACAAUAAAUUCACACACUCCAGGUACUGUUAUCACCGUUGGGCAGCGAAUAUACUCCAUAUAUAAAGCAUCUCUUCUAUUGUGGAUACACCUUGCAAGUCGACGAUGACACCCAUUCCGUGCCUGUGACAGUGUGAUCUUUUCUGUUGCAACAUUAUUUACAAGAAGUUCCUGGGUUUGUUCUCACGUCUAUGAAUUGCUGAUAAACAAAGUAUUUUCGCAAAGGGUCAGAAAUUCGACGGAUCGGGUGGUCACCUGAGCAGCACGUUUCCCAUGGAACUCAAAACAUUCACUGACACUUCUGUACAUAGAAGUGGUAUUUCGCACAAACCCAGGC